rnacentral:tRNA from 1 species
GGGCGAGUGGCGGAACGGCAGACGCAGCGGACUUAAAAUCCGCCGGGGUAACCCAUGUGGGUUCGAAUCCCACCUCGCCCACCA